GUCCACACGGUAAACUAUGGAUACUCGCUGUAGGCGAUACACAGUCUGCGGCCAAGCGAAAGCAUUAAGUAUCCCACCUGGGGAGUACGCCGGCAACGGUGAAACUCAAAGGAAUUGACGGGGGCCCCGCACAAGCGGAGGAACAUGUGGUUUAAUUCGAUGAUACGCGAGGAACCUUACCCGGGCUUAAAUUGCAACUGAAUAGCUGAGAGAUCAGUUAGCUAGCAAUAGCAGUUGUGAAGGUGCUGCAUGGUUGUCGU
rnacentral:rRNA from 1 species